CCUACGGGUGGCAGCAGUGAGGAAUAUUGGUCAAUGGGCGCAAGACUGAACCAGCCAAGUCGCGUGAGGGAUGACGGUCCUAUGGAUUGUAAACCUCUUUUGUCGGGGAGCAAGGCCCGCCACGUGUGGCGGGAAGGAGAGUACCCGAAGAAAAAGCAUCGGCUAACUCCGUGCCAGCAGCCGCGGUAAUCCGGAGGAUGCGAGGUUUAUCCGGUUUGAUUGGGUUUAAAGGGUGCGUGGGGGGAAGGUUAAGUAAGCGGUCAAAUGUCGGUGCUCAACACCGGCCUGCCGUUGAAACUGGUCUUAUUGAGUUGGCGAGAAGUAUGCGGAAUGCGUGGUGUAGCGGUGAAAUGCAUAGAUAGCACGCAGAACUCCGAUUGCGAAGGCAGCAUACCGGCGCUCCACUGACGCUGAGGCACGAAAGCGUGGGGAUCGAACAGGAUUAGAUACCCGAGUAGUC
rnacentral:rRNA from 1 species